ensembl:snRNA U6 U6 spliceosomal RNA
GUGCUAGCUUCGGCAGCACAUAUACUAAAAUUGGAACAAUACGGAGAAGAUUAGCAUAGCCCCUGCACAAGGAUGACACGCGAAUUCGUGAAGCAUUCCAUAUUUUU